UACAGAGGUGUCGAGCGUUGUGCGGAUUCAUUGGGCGUAAAGGGUGCGUAGGCGGCGUGGCAAGUCUGAUGUGAAAUCCCGGGGCUCAACCCCGGAACUGCAUUGGAUACUGCCAUGCUAGAGUACUGGAGAGGAGAUUGGAAUUUACGGUGUAGCAGUGAAAUGCGUAGAUAUCGUAAGGAAGACCAGUGGCGAAGGCGAAUCUCUGGACAGUUACUGACGCUGAGGCACGAAGGCCAGGGGAGCAAACGGG
rnacentral:rRNA from 1 species